GGGUUGUGAGGUUAAGCGACUAAGCGUACACGGUGGAUGCCCUGGCAGUCAGAGGCGAUGAAGGGCGUGCUAAUCUGCGAUAAGCGCCGGUAAGGUGAUAUGAACCGUUAUAACCGGCGAUACCCGAAUGGGGAAACCCAGUGUGACUCGUCACACUAUCAUUAACUGAAUCCAUAGGUUAAUGAGGCGAACCGGGGGAACUGAAACAUCUAAGUACCCCGAGGAAAAGAAAUCAACCGAGAUUCCCCCAGUAGCGGCGAGCGAACGGGGAGGAGCCCAGAGCCUGAAUCAGCAUGUGUGUUAGUGGAAGCGUCUGGAAAGGCGCGCGAUACAGGGUGACAGCCCCGUACACAAAAGCGCAUGUGCUGUGAGCUCGAUGAGUAGGGCGGGACACGUGGUAUCCUGUCUGAAUAUGGGGGGACCAUCCUCCAAGGCUAAAUACUCCUGACUGACCGAUAGUGAACCAGUACCGUGAGGGAAAGGCGAAAAGAACCCCGGCGAGGGGAGUGAAAAAGAACCUGAAACCGUGUACGUACAAGCAGUGGGAGCCCCACCACCAAAGCAUUCUCUGGUGUUGAAGGCCCUGCAAAGCAGCAUCGCGGUGGCGGAGCGUCGUUUGCGACGCCCAACACACAAAACAAGCGGUGAAUGCUUUGGGGUGGGGUGACUGCGUACCUUUUGUAUAAUGGGUCAGCGACUUAUAUUCUGUAGCAAGGUUAACCGAAUAGGGGAGCCGGAGGGAAACCGAGUCUUAAUUGGGCGUUAAGUUGCAGGGUAUAGACCCGAAACCCGGUGAUCUAGCCAUGGGCAGGUUGAAGGUUGGGUAACACUAACUGGAGGACCGAACCGACUAAUGUUGAAAAAUUAGCGGAUGACCUGUGGCUGGGGGUGAAAGGCCAAUCAAACCGGGAGAUAGCUGGUUCUCCCCGAAAGCUAUUUAGGUAGCGCCUCGUGAAUUCAUCUCCGGGGGUAGAGCACUGUUUCGGCUAGGGGGCCAUCCCGGCUUACCAACCCGAUGCAAACUGCGAAUACCGGAGAAUGUUAUCACGGGAGACACACGGCGGGUGCUAACGUCCGUCGUGAAGAGGGAAACAACCCAGACCGCCAGCUAAGGUCCCAAAGUCAUGGUUAAGUGGGAAACGAUGUGGGAAGGCCCAGACAGCCAGGAUGUUGGCUUAGAAGCAGCCAUCAUUUAAAGAAAGCGUAAUAGCUCACUGGUCGAGUCGGCCUGCGCGGAAGAUGUAACGGGGCUAAACCAUGCACCGAAGCUGCGGCAGCGACGCUGAUGCGUUGUUGGGUAGGGGAGCGUUCUGUAAGCCUGCGAAGGUGACCUGUGAGGGUUGCUGGAGGUAUCAGAAGUGCGAAUGCUGACAUAAGUAACGAUAAAGCGGGUGAAAAGCCCGCUCGCCGGAAGACCAAGGGUUCCUGUCCAACGUUAAUCGGGGCAGGGUGAGUCGACCCCUAAGGCGAGGCCGAAAGGCGUAGUCGAUGGGAAACGGGUUAAUAUUCCCGUACUUGGUGUUACUGCGAAGGGGGGACGGAGAAGGCUAUGUUGGCCGGGCGACGGUUGUCCCGGUUUAAGCGUGUAGGUGUGUGUUCCAGGUAAAUCCGGUUCACUUUAACACUGAGGCGUGAUGACGAGGCACUACGGUGCUGAAGCAACAAAUGCCCUGCUUCCAGGAAAAGCCUCUAAGCAUCAGGUAACAUCAAAUCGUACCCCAAACCGACACAGGUGGUCAGGUAGAGAAUACCAAGGCGCUUGAGAGAACUCGGGUGAAGGAACUAGGCAAAAUGGUGCCGUAACUUCGGGAGAAGGCACGCUGACACGUAGGUGAAGUGAUUUACUCAUGGAGCUGAAGUCAGUCGAAGAUACCAGCUGGCUGCAACUGUUUAUUAAAAACACAGCACUGUGCAAACACGAAAGUGGACGUAUACGGUGUGACGCCUGCCCGGUGCCGGAAGGUUAAUUGAUGGGGUCAGCGCAAGCGAAGCUCCUGAUCGAAGCCCCGGUAAACGGCGGCCGUAACUAUAACGGUCCUAAGGUAGCGAAAUUCCUUGUCGGGUAAGUUCCGACCUGCACGAAUGGCGUAAUGAUGGCCAGGCUGUCUCCACCCGAGACUCAGUGAAAUUGAACUCGCUGUGAAGAUGCAGUGUACCCGCGGCAAGACGGAAAGACCCCGUGAACCUUUACUAUAGCUUGACACUGAACAUUGAGCCUUGAUGUGUAGGAUAGGUGGGAGGCUUUGAAGUGUGGACGCCAGUCUGCAUGGAGCCGACCUUGAAAUACCACCCUUUAAUGUUUGAUGUUCUAACGUGGACCCGUAAUCCGGGUUGCGGACAGUGUCUGGUGGGUAGUUUGACUGGGGCGGUCUCCUCCUAAAGAGUAACGGAGGAGCACGAAGGUUGGCUAAUCCUGGUCGGACAUCAGGAGGUUAGUGCAAUGGCAUAAGCCAGCUUGACUGCGAGCGUGACGGCGCGAGCAGGUGCGAAAGCAGGUCAUAGUGAUCCGGUGGUUCUGAAUGGAAGGGCCAUCGCUCAACGGAUAAAAGGUACUCCGGGGAUAACAGGCUGAUACCGCCCAAGAGUUCAUAUCGACGGCGGUGUUUGGCACCUCGAUGUCGGCUCAUCACAUCCUGGGGCUGAAGUAGGUCCCAAGGGUAUGGCUGUUCGCCAUUUAAAGUGGUACGCGAGCUGGGUUUAGAACGUCGUGAGACAGUUCGGUCCCUAUCUGCCGUGGGCGCUGGAGAACUGAGGGGGGCUGCUCCUAGUACGAGAGGACCGGAGUGGACGCAUCACUGGUGUUCGGGUUGUCAUGCCAAUGGCACUGCCCGGUAGCUAAAUGCGGAAGAGAUAAGUGCUGAAAGCAUCUAAGCACGAAACUUGCCCCGAGAUGAGUUCUCCCUGAGACUUUAGGUCUCCUGAAGGAACGUUGAAGACGACGACGUUGAUAGGCCGGGUGUGUAAGCGCAGCGAUGCGUUGAGCUAACCGGUACUAAUGAACCGUGAGGCUUAACCUUACAACGCCGAAG
rnacentral:rRNA from 1 species